UACGUAGGGUGCAAGCGUUGUCCGGAAUUAUUGGGCGUAAAGAGCUUGUAGGCGGUUUGUCGCGUCUGCUGUGAAAUUUCGGGGCUCAACCCCGAACUUGCAGUGGGGUACGGGCAGACUAGAGUGUGGUAGGGGAGACUGGAAUUCCUGGUGUAGCGGUGAAAUGCGCAGAUAUCAGGAGGAACACCGAUGGCGAAGGCAGGUCUCUGGGCCAUAACUGACGCUGAGAAGCGAAAGCGUGGGGAGCAAACAGG
rnacentral:rRNA from 1 species